rnacentral:rRNA from 1 species
GCUAAGCCAUUAACACUGAAAGCAUCUCAUACCCUGCUUUCCGCCAGAGAACUACAAGUGAAAAACUUCAAACUCAAAGGACUUGGCGGUGUCCCACACCAACCUAGAGGAGCCUGUCCUAUAAUCGAUACCCCCCGUUCUACCUAACCUCUACUAGCACCUUUCAGCCUAUAUACCGCCGUCGACAGUCUACCCCAUGAGGGUCCAACAGUAGACAUAAUAGCCCGCCCGCUAACACGUCAGGUCAAGGUGUAGCAUAUGUUGAGGAAGAGAUUGGCUACAUUUUUUAUCUUAAAAAAUACGAAAUGCAACAUGAAACCCUGCAUGAAGGUGAAUUUAGUAGUAAGAUAAAACAAGAGUGUUUAUCUUAACAACGCUCUG